rnacentral:rRNA from 1 species
UACGGAGGGUGCAAGCGUUAUUCGGAAUUACUGGGCGUAAAGAGCACGUAGGCGGUUCAGUUAGUCUGGUGUGAAAUCCCCGGACUCAAUCCUGGAAGUGCAUUGGAUACUGCUGAACUAGAGUGUCGGAGGGGAGAACGGAAUUCCUGGUGUAGAGGUGAAAUUCUUAGAUAUCAGGAGGAACAACGGUGGCGAAGGCGGUUCUCUGGACGACAACUGACGCUGAGGUGCGAAAGCGUGGGGAGCAAACAGG